rnacentral:rRNA from 1 species
UCUUGAUAAGUGCCCUUGGAGACUACAAGGUUGAUAGGUUGCAGGUGUACGAACAGCGAUGUUCUCAGCCGAGCAAUACUAAUAGCACGAAUGAUAUUUAUGC